rnacentral:lncRNA from 12 species
UAGACUGGCUUUUGUGAUACUGAAAAGCAGGGCAGGAGAGCUGUCCUUACAAGCUGGAAGAACUGCUGCAAGCUGGGAUAACACCAAGUCUCUUCUAGGGCGAUGUGAGGCAAGGAGACAGGAGCAGACCACAGCUCUCAGGAGUGGGAAGAUAGCUGGGGAGUCACGUUGUUCUCUGAGCUCCAUCUGCCUGGCUCUUUGGAACUUACAGGAGCAUUGUAUUGUCUACUCAAGUGACCCUGGAGGUAAGAAGGGAGGGUGUUAUGACAUCCUCGGGGGCGCCCGACACAAGGGAAAGCAGACCGCUGGAUCCGUAGACACUGGAGAGUUUCAAAGAAAUACACUUUUCAUUGACCUUCUGAAGAUUUGCCCUGGGCUGGAAGCAAAGCAACCUGGGCUGUUAGCUCAAACAUGUUACAAGCUGCCUGACUAGUUGAGGAGCAUCAGAAAGUGGCGGGUUAAAUUCGCCAGCUCUGUUUUUGCCGGUCACAUAGUGGUUAAAUGCAUGAACUUUGGGCCACCCUUCCUUGGUUCAAAUCCUAGUUCUUACCUGUUAGCAGAUAUAUAAUUUUAGGCAAGUCCUUGAACUCCUGUAGUCUUCAGUAUUCUUGUUUGCAGGGGAUGAUAAUGGUAAUAAUGCUGCUGCUGACAAACCUUUCCAAACAUAUAUUUUUUAUAAAAUGUAAAAAUGUCUACCACUUAGUGCAGUGUCUGGCAUGUUUGUAUAGGCUCAUUAAAUGCUGAUCACUGUAAUUGCUUAUAAAUAAAGUGUUUUUUGGCAAGAGAUACGAUAUUAUG